ensembl:lncRNA
GCCUGGAUCACCACUUCUCUACUACAUUUCCCAGAAUCCUCUUUGACUCCUAGUCCCGUCUACUUGCUGUCUCAUUGGCCAAAUAGUAUUUUAUUCAACAAUCAAUAUGAUAAACAUACACAGAAGUACUUUCCCCAUCAGAAGACGUAUCCCAGAUGAAAUGGAUAGAUUCCAAGAUUUUCUGUGACCUACCAAGAUUACAUUAAGAUGAAAUGAACAGCACAAACAGUUCUCUAAGGAGCAACAAGACAAAAGCAGUGUCUUAGCUGCAUUUUUACUGCUGUGAUGAGUCACCGUGCAACUUAGAGAAGAAACCAUUCUUUACUGAGGUCUUACAGCUUCAGAGGCCUUUAGGAAAUGGAAAGAAAACGUCAUUGUAGAUGACAGUGGCGUCUUACUCAACCAUAAAGAAGAACCUCCCUGUGCCAUUUGUAGAAAAUCAGUGGAAACAUCAUGCUGAAUGAAACUGGUCCGAUUCUGAAAGACAAGACAGCGUUUUCAUCUCCCAUGUGAACCACGGAUUUGCAGAGGGCGUUCUGCUUGGCUUGAUGGGAAAAAAGAUGGGUCUUGGACGCAAUGUAUGACAUUUGCUUAGUGAUUGUUGAACACGGACUGUGUGACGGGAACUGCAGCGUGUUACUGAUGAACCUGUAAUGUCCCUCCGAGGGUAUGUUUUCAGAGGAGGAAUCUGGUACUGGUCAUGUGGCAAGUUAUCCUGAGAGCUCCAGGAAUUUCGACUCUGAAGCCUUCGACCUUUUCAUGACCUUCAUGUAGGCGAUGAUGUGUGCCAGAGAGACAGCUGUACCAGGAGGCAUGGAAACACAACCACGGCUGAUUCCUCUCUUCCCUCCACCAAACCCACAAAUGCAUUAAAUGAAGAGGAACCUUUUUGACGUCAUCACCGGGGAUGAUGACACGUUUGGUCCCUCCGGCAGGAGUCCUGACACCUUCCUGUGUUGAGCCAUGUUCAGUCAUGGGGUACCCUGGCUCAUAGCAGCGGAGCCCUGCCAGGUCACAGAGUGUGCCCAAAUCCCUCAUGCUCCAGUGAGCAGCCAAAGAGAAAGCGUUUCUCCGGAGGAAAACUGCAUCUUCUCCUUUGCAGCCAGCUCAAAAGCUCCAGAGCUCCAGCUUAAAUAAAAGAAAAAAAGGAAGGAAGGAAGAAAAAGAUCCAAACCAAAUGCAGGCGUAAGAACCACCUGAGCUAUGCCACUUCCCAGAAGCCCCCAGAUCAGAGCGGUGCAUGGAAGCAGGGGUGUGUAGGGACUCAGCUCCCUGCUGAUCAUCUGGCCUCCAUGGCAUCAUCGCUCCUGUGGCUUUUCCAGCUGAGGCUCAUGUCCAGGGUCAUGCGUCCCCACUGGCUUUGGUCCUCUCUAAUGUUUUCUCGGCAAUCUAUUUUUCACGUUCCUGCUCAAAGCCUCCCACCCCACCCCACCCAACACAAGCUUCUCUAACUCAUGUUCCCUUUCCUUGGUCUACUCUAAGACUCAGGGAUUAAGACAUUGGGCUGAGGCAGACCUGGUUGGACUCCAAGCUCUGUGUGAACUUUGACCUCCAUUGUCUGCUUGUCGGUAUCUGCAUCUAUAUAUUUGAUACCACAUUGUGCUGGUCAGUUUUAUUUUUUUGUCAACUUGACACAGUUCUUCAAGGAACUUAGUUGCUUCAGUAACAUUGGCCUGUAGGCAAAUCUGUGGCACGUUUUCUUGAUUAUUGACUGACGUAGGAGGGCAUAGCCCACUCUGGGAGGCGCCACACAUGGACAGAUGACCCCGGUUGUGUUAAAAGGGAAGCGGAUAAUGCCCUGAUAAGCAAGCCAGUAAGCGUUGUUCCGCCAUGGCCUCUGCUUCAGUUCCUGCCUCUAGGUUCCUGAAUUGAUUUAAUGUCCUGAUGGCCUUUCGUGGUGGACUAUAAGGUGCAAGUUGAAAUAAACCCUUUCGUUUCCAAAUUGCUUUUUGUCAUCGUGUUCGUCACAGCCAUAGAAAGCAAACUAAUGUCAUCCCCAGGACAAACUGAUCUAUCUCCAGAUGUCAUGUGACUAGCUCCAUCAAGUUCCUGCCUUGACUUCCUUGAAAUGACGGACUAUCACCUGGAAAUGGAGCAAGGAUAUGGAUGAUCUGCAAAUGGAAACCUGGAAACUGAAUGAUCAGAGCCUUAACCAUGCUGCACACGAGGUCUCCACUAGGCUACGUCAUCAUCUGAAGCUCAUCCAGGCUGUCAACAAAAUUCAGCCCAGUGUUUCGCUGGCUGUUGGUGGGAUGCCAUACUUAGGCCCAGGAGGCUGCCCAUAGUCCCCACCAUAUGGCCUCCAGAUAAGCUGUUCACGACACUGCAGAUGAUUUCAUCGUGGCCAGUCUGUGUAUCUUCUUCACUCACUGACUUUUGUGUAACAAAAUGUAUCUAAUCAGCAAGAGAUUAGAUACAUUUCAUCCCUUUUGCACAUUCUAAGCUUCAGUGGGUUCUAUCUGAGCUCAAGGGGCUUGGACAAGGACUUUGGGGUCAUAGGAGGGUGUCUUUUAUUGCUACCUGGACUAUGAGAAGAUGAAGUGCUUUCCCCUGACCCCAGCAAUUGCCGGGUGUAGGGAUUUCAGGGAGCCAUUUUUCUUGUCUCAGUAUCAUUCAUAUGUAAAUUCCAGCUAGUAAUUUGCUUCCUGUCCACAUUGAAGCUUUUGGGGAGGUUAACUGAGACCACACAUGUGUAGAAGAUAUAAAACUAGGAGAUUAUGAUGUCCUGAUGACCAUAAGCUGGCUCCUAGCUUAUAUUGUAAGUGGUUAUUGUCCUUGGCACAGAGAAAGCAUUGGGUUGCAUAAAUUUCCCAUCUGUCUGUCAUGCAUGUCCUUGGACAACAAAUGACUAUAUUUAAUUUUAUAGAGAUAUUUAUGGUUUAAUCAAUUAUGGUGAUUGAAUAUAUAUGCAAAUGCUUAGCAACUGAAUUCUCAAGGGCACUUUUUCUGAAUGGUUUAAGCAUCAUACAUACAGAUUAUAUAGGUUUUGCAUAAUAGACAACUAGCCAGACACUUCUGCCAAACAAACGAAGGGC